CUUUUGUGUGUUGUUGGGUAGGGGAGCGUCGUGCAUGCGGUGAAGCCGUGGCGGAAGCUUAUGGUGGAGUGUGUGCGAGUGAGAAUGCAGGCAUGAGUAGCGAAUGCAAGGUGAGAAUCCUUGCCGCCGGAUGAUCAAGGGUUCCUGGGUCAAGCUCGUCUUCCCAGGGUGAGUCGGGUCCUAAGGCGAGGCCGACAGGCGUAGUCGAUGGCAAACGGGUUGAUAUUCCCGUACCCGGUUAUAUGCGACCAAUGAUGAUGCAGUGAUACUAACCACCCAGAAUCACCUCUAACACGCCCUUUGGGUGUGUGGUGUGUGAGGAUGCGUGGGGCCUGAUCUGUCGUAGUCAAGUGAUGGAGUGACACAGAGUGGUAGCCACGCCAACCGUUGGUUGUGUUGGUGUAAGCGUGUAGUCCGUGUUCUAGGUAAAUCCGGGGCACAUUGAAGGGCGAGGCGUGAUGCGUACCCACUGAGUGGGGAUGGUGGUGAUCCUGUGCUGUCGAGAAAAGCUUCUAGCGAUGUAUAUGGCCGGCCCGUACCCCAAACCGACACAGGUGAUCGAGUAGAGAAUACUAAGGCGAGCGGGUGAACUGUAGUUAAGGAACUCGGCAAAAUACCCCCGUAACUUCGGGAGAAGGGGGACCCUACAUGGUGUAUAGCUGUGUGGUGGUCGCAGAGUCUAGAGGGAAGCGACUGUUUACUAAAAACAUAGGUCUGUGCGAAAACGUGGAAGUUGAUGUAUACGGACUGACGCCUGCCCGGUGCUGGAAGGUUAAGAGGACCUGUUAGACCCUUUGUGGGUCGAAGCGGAGAAUUUAAGCCCCAGUAAACGGCGGUGGUAACUAUAACCAUCCUAAGGUAGCGAAAUUCCUUGUCGGGUAAGUUCCGACCUGCACGAAUGGCGUAACGACUUCCCUGCUGUCUCAACUACAGGCCCGGUGAAAUUGCAGUACGAGUAAAGAUGCUCGUUACGCGCGGCAGGACGAAAAGACCCCGGGACCUUCACUACAACUUGGUAUUGGUGUUCGGGUCGGUUUGUGUAGCAUAGGUGGGAGACGUGGAAGCAUUAACGCUAGUUGGUGUGGAGUCGCACGGUGAAAUACCACUCUGACCGAUUCGGAUAUCUCAACCUUGGCCCAUGAUCUGGGUUGGGGACAGUGCCUGGUGGGUAGUUUAACUGGGGCGGU
rnacentral:rRNA from 1 species